AUAAGUUACUAAGAGUAUAUGGCGGAUGUUUUGGCGCUAAGAAGCGAAGAAGGGCGUGUAAGACUGCGAAAAUCUUUGGAGAGCUGUCAAAAAGCGUUGAUCCAGAGGUACCCGAAUGGGGCAACCUGUAAGGAGAGAGUCCUUACAUUUAUGUCUGAAUAAAUAGGGCAUAAAGGCGAACGAUGAGAAUUGAAACAUCUUAGUAUCAUCAGGAAGAGAAAGAGAAAUCGAUUGUCUAAGUAGCGGCGAGCGAAAGGACAGUAGUCCAAACUUGAUACAUGUAAGACUGUAAUCGUUGUGUAUUGAGGGUAGAGGGAUCGUUAUGUAGCAGUUACAGAUGUUACGAAGAGUCAAAAAAGUUGAAGCUAGUGGAAUUUGAUGGAAAGCGAAAUCAGAGAAGGUGAGAAUCCUGUACACGAAAGCGGAUGCACUCUUAAACGACACCCAAGUAGUAUCGAGCACGUGGAACUCGGUAUGAAUCGGGGAGGUCCACCUCCUAAGACUAAAUAUUCCUUGGCGACCGAUAGUGAACGAAGUAGUGCGAAUGAAAAAUGAAAAGAACCCCGUUGAGGGGAGUGAAAGAGUACCUGAAACCAUAUACUUACAACCGGUAGGAGCACUAUGGUGCAUGAGCGAUGCUAGCGAUAGACAGAGGGUAUAUAUAUGAGAUGAGUCUUAUAGAUAUAUUAAUGCAUCCAGUGUGACUACGUGCCUUUUGCAUAAUGAUCCGGCGAGUUACUGUAUGUAGCGAGGUUAAGUGAUUACGUCACGGAGCCGAAGCGAAAGCGAGUGUUAAUAGUGCGCUAGUUACAUGUAGUAGACCCGAAAGCCAGUGAUCUAACCAUGUCCAGAGUGAAGUGAAUGUAACAGUUCAUGGAGGCUCGGAUGCACUAAUGUUGAAAAAUUAGGCAAUGAGGUGUGGUUAGGAGUAAAAGUCUAAUCAAACUGGCCAAUAUCUGGUUCUCCCCGAAAUAUCUUUAGGGGUAGCCUGUAGAGUAGCAUGUGGGGGUAGAGCGACUGAAUGGAUUUUGGGUCCGACCAGGAUACCAUAUUCAACCAAACUCCGAAUACCGCAUGUGAAAUCUAUGGAGUGAGACAGUGAGGGAUAAGCUUCAUUGUCAAGAGGGAAACAGCCCAGACUGCCGACUAAGGUACCGGAAGGAUAACUAAGUGAGAAAGGAAGUGAUUGUGCUAAGACAGCCAGGAUGUUGGCUUAGAAGCAGCCACCAUUUAAAAAGUGCGUAAUAGCUUACUGGUCGAGGACAAUUGCGCCAAAAAUUGAAGGUACUGAAGUUAUCUACCGAAGUCGCGGAUUUAGCGAGAGCUAAGUGGUAGGGGAGCGUUCUGAGGGUAGAAGGCUGACCGAGAGGACAGUUGGACCGUAAGAAGUGAUAAUGCCGGAAUGAGUAGCGAGAAAAUAAGUGAGAAUCUUAUUCGUCGAAAGCCUAAGGUUUCCUGGGGUAGGUAAAUCCGCCCAGGGUUAGUCGGUACCUAAGACGAGGUCGAAGGACGUAGCCGAUGGACAACAGGUUAAUAUUCCUGUACUACUGUUAAUUGGAGGAGAGAUCCGGGAGAGAAGUGGUGACGGAGGAGGCUAUAUCAACCCUGUGCAUGGAAGUGCAGGGCCAAGCGUGUAGGUAGUAGCUGUAGGCAAAUCCGCAGUUAUGGUAAUCUGAGACGUGAUGGGUAUCGCAAGAGAAGUGAUAGACGCCCUACUUCCGAGAAAACCCGCUAUUUAGAGAGACAGUAACCGUACUAAAACUGACACAGGUAGGCGAGGAGAGAAUCCUAAGACGCUCGAGAGAAUCUUCGUUAAGGAACUCGGCAAAUUAGCCCCGUAACUUAGGGAUAAGGGGAGCCAUUGGUUGUGAAUAUUGAACGAUAGGAGCGAUCGAUGGUCGCAGAAAAGUGGCCCAGGCGACUGUUUACUAAAAACACAGGACUCUGCGAAGACGUGAAGUUGAAGUAUAGAGUCUGACGUCUGCUCGGUGCUGGAAGGUUAAGGCAAUAGGUUAGUGCGAGAGUACGAAGCUUAGACCCGAAGCCCCAGUAAACGGCGGCCGUAACUAUGACGGUCCUAAGGUAGCGAAAUUCCUUGUCGGGUAAGUUCCGACGUGCAUGAAUGACGUAACGACUUGGGCACUGUCUCAACGAAGAACUCGGCGAAAUUGUAGCAACGGUGAAGAUGCCGUUUACCCGCAACUAGACGGAAAGACCCCGUGAACCUUUACUAUAGCAUGUCAUUGUGUUUUGGCAUAAGAUGUGUAGGAUAGGUGGGAGACGUGGAAUGGGAGACGCCAGUCUUUCAGGAGUCGCCAUUGAAAUACCACCUUUUUUGUGUUAGAAUUCUAACUGAUGCCCGUGAACCGGGAUCAGGACAGUGAUAUGUGGGUAGUUUGACUGGGGCGGUCUCCUCCGAAAGAGUAACGGAGGAGUCCAAAGGUAUCCUCAACAUGGUUGGUAAUCAUGUGAAGAGCGUAAAGGUAGAAGGAUACUUGACUGCGAGAGCAAUAAUUCGAGCAGAUGUGAAAGCAGGGCUUAGUGAUCCGGUGAUGCCGUGUGGAAGGGUCAUCGCUCAACAGAUAAAAGGUACUCCGGGGAUAACAGGCUGAUCGCCUCCAAGAGUUCGUAUCGACGAGGCGGUUUGGCACCUCGAUGUCGGCUCGUCGCAUCCUGGGGCUGAAGAGGGUCCCAAGGGUUUGGCUGUUCGCCAAUUAAAGCGGCACGCGAGCUGGGUUUAGACCGUCGUGAGACAGGUCGGUCUCUAUCUGUUGUGGGUGUAGGAAACUUGAGGAGAAUUACCCCUAGUACGAGAGGAUUGGGGUGGACGUACCGCUGGUGUACCAGUUGUCAUACCAAUGGCACAGCUGGGUAGCUACGUACGGAAUAGAUAAGCGCUGAAAGCAUAUAAGCGCGAAGCGGACUUUAAAACUAGGUUUCCCGAUAGAGACCACAGAGACGAUGUGGUAGAUAGGUCGGAUGUGUAGAGACAGUAAUGUAAGAGCUAACCGAUCCUAAUAACUCGAAAGACUUAUGUAC
rnacentral:rRNA from 1 species